rnacentral:lncRNA from 1 species
CAAGAAUUCAUAUAUACUUACGCAUUAAUUGUAUUUCUAUGUGAAAGAAAAAGGACAAAGUUUAAACACUGCACAAAAACUCACUAUUCUCCUGAAAGUUAUUCCAAAGCUGAGCUCCGGCUCUAAACCGCUUUCAAGAAGCUCCGACCGGCCACCCUUCUUGGUCAAAAAUGAUGCAGUCUGAGGCUCCGAAAUAAACCCAUUUGAAGAGCCCGGGUUCAGAGUCACCGGUUUAAACCCAUUACUAUUUCUACUACUGGAUCCAUUAAAUGACUUCCUCGCCAUAUGAAACUCAAUUCUCCGAUGAAAAAUCGCCGACUUGUCCUUAUUCGGAUCCGGUUCGUACAGAAUCAUUGAAUCCAUAAACAAGAUGUAUCAAAAUGGAAUGAAAUGAAUAUACACAUAUAUACAUAUAUGUAUGCUUUUGCGUUCUUUAGGUUUUCACAAACUGAUCACGCUGGCGUGACAGAGAGAGAGAUUCAUAGAGCGUUUUUGACUGUGGAGAGAGAGGAAACAGAGCUUUAAAACCCUAAUCAGGGUGUGGUGAAACAGGAACAGAGAGUGCGCUUUGCACUUGUCAUAU